UUUAUGCGAGAAUAUUAUCACUGAUUAAUGUCUGUAAGCUUCGUGCUCGUACUAUAUCCGAGCUCUAAAGACCCGAUGACUACGUAUGGGGAUUUUGUCCGGGUAAGACUUCGUAAUAAGAAUUGCUUAUAAAUAUAUUCAAUGCGAAAGGUUAAAUAGGUAUGUACUCCAAGUUUAUAUGUGAGCUUGAUUUGCACUAAAUCAAAUGGUAGUUAUGUGAUGUAUACGAGAGUAAUCUAUGAGACUAUUCCUAUGAUUAUGUGACAUCGGAUCAGUGUGAGAGGUUAUGUGAAAUCAUACGAUAUAUCUAUGUCACAUGAGCUCACUUUUAUGUGAAAGUUUAUCUGCCUAUUGUAUAUGAUGAGAUGUGCAUAUUCGGUAAAGGGAUGGUAUGCCCGAAGGAAGAGUGAAAUAAAAAUACGAACAACUAUGUUAUAAUUUGAUUGUUAUCUGUUCACACUGCUUAAAACUUACUAAGCAUUGUAAUGGUCACUCCGUUUACUCUGUUUCCUCUGUUUUAUAGAUCUCAUUGCGAAGCUACAGGCUCGGGGAUCGUCAGCAACUAGUCACACUAUCACUAUCCACUGUUUGGUACUGCUAUGUUUUGGAUUAUCUUAUGGCAUGUAUAAAAUAGACUAGUGGCGGAAGAAUAUUUUGGUUAAUGUAUAUAAGCCAUGCGAAAAUGGCAUCUUUUGAAUGUUUACUUAGAGAAGUUUAAAUUUUAUCCCUGGCCGUGCUUAGUACUUAUCUAAAUGAAUGACCUUUAUUUCAAGAAAAAGUUCAAAAUUUUACGGUUCUGACAUGAGUUACAAGCCCGGUAAUGCCCCUUACCUAUUCCGGCAACGGUCACGGGAUAGGGGUGUUACAUUUUAUUGGUAUCAGAGCUACGGUUUAGUCGAUUCUAGGACUGACGUAGCACGCGUGAGUCUAUUUAUACAUGCCAUAAAGUGAUAAAAUAUAGUGUGAUGAUUUUUGGCUAUUAAAAUGUGUUUGAUGUAUUGCAAUGAAUCUUGAUCCCGAUCGAGCUGUAGCAAGCUUCUGACUAUGAGAAUUUGCGAUAUAACUUCACUUAGAUAUGCCUAAAUUAUUAAGUUGAUCAGGUACGUAUCAUGCACUCGUAUUUGAAUUUCGAUUUGGAUUGAAUUAUAAGGGUAUAAGUGAUGCAAUUUUGAAAUAGUGUUAUGACUAUAAAUGUGAUUUUUGUAUGUGGCUAUGGAACUGGAAGUUGAAUGGUCGAUAAGCAUGUUGUGUUUGUAUUCAAGUAAUGUAAAUGAUAUACUAAUGUGUAUUGCUAUAUGUGUAUAUGUACAUGAGAAUUGAGAGUGAAAUGUCCGGGCUAAAUCUCGAAGAGCAUUCGUGCUAGUGAUGUAUCCGGACUAAGUUCCGAAGAGCAUUCAUGCUAGUGAUGUAUCCGGGCUAAGUCCCGAAGAGCAUUCGUGCUAGUGAUGUAUCCGGACUAAGUUCCGAAGAGCAUUCAUGCUAGUGAUGUAUCCGGGCUAAGUCCCGAAGAGCAUUCAUGCUAGUGAUGUAUCCGGGCUAAGUCCCGAAGAGCAUUCGUGCUAAUGAUGUAUCCGGGCUAAGUCUCGAAGAGCAUUCGUGCUAGUGAUGUAUUCGGACUAAGUUCCGAAGAGCAUUCGUGCUAGUGAUAUAUCUGUGCUAAACCCCGAAGAGCAUUUGUGCUGGUGUUAUAUCCGGGCUAGGUCCCGAAGAGCAAUCAUGCUGGUGACGUGUAUUCGGGCCUUCGUGCCUAGUAGGCUUCGUGCCGGUAAUUUGAGCAAAGUUUAAGUGUUCAUUACUAUACGAAUUCAAAUUUAAAUGAGAUGAUAUGUUUAAAAGUGUACAUACAUGAUGUUUAUAGACUUGGUUAAGUCAUUUCAAUGUGUAAUAACGAAUGAAUAAGAGCACUAUGUGUGUGAAUGAUUAGAGGCACUGUGUGUGUGCGAAUUCCUUUAACCGAGCACUAUGAGUGCGAGAUCGGUCAGUGGGCACUAAGUGUGUGAAGUGGAAUUCAUGUAAGACCUCGUCUGGGACGAAGGCAUUGAUUUGAGAUAGUGUGUAAGACCAUGUCUGGGACAUGGCAUCGGCUCGAUAUGUGAGAAUAUGUAAGACCAUAUCUAGGAUAUGGCAUUGUAAGAGCUAUAUGUGCUCAAUGAGUAUCCGUAAUGAUUUCGAAUGAUUCAACAGGUAUAUUUAAGAUGAUAAAUUAAGUAAGAUCAGAAUAAGUGAUACAGGUAUAUACGGAAGGUAUGAGAAAAUUAGAUGAAAGUAAAAAGAUGGUGGAUAUGUUGUUAAGAAAUGAAUUCAUGUUAUAAAUGUGUUACGAAUUUAGUCUAUGGAAUGCUUGGUAUAUGAAUUCAUAUGUGCUAUUGCUAAAUGACCCCUAUUUUUUUUUUGUUAAUCAUAUUCAAGAAAUUAUUUCGAUUAAGUUCGACAUUUGAAAGUCUGUAAGAAUUUGUGAUGAAUGCUGAUAAUUUUGGAUAUAUGGGUUAUGUGCUAAAAUAAAUCCCAUGCCGGUAUACAAUAUGAGGCUUGAUGCCAAAUCGAUUGUAUACGGGUAUCGUUAACGGUGAUUGAAUGUGCUAAAUGAACUCAAUGUUCAGGUAUGUGGAAGUUGAUUUUCUGUUGGAAAUAGGUUAAGUUGAAUAGUGAGAUAUGAUGGAGUGAUAAAGGAUAUUUAUUGGGAUGUUUGAGUAUAUGUGUACUUUCGGUCAGGUUACAGCUUAUACAUGAAUGAAAAUGUGGGUUACAAAUAUGUGGGUUGAUGAUGUGAAUUAUACAUAUUAAUAUGUGCUUAAUAUGUGUUUGAAAUGCAUUUGUGAAUUAAAUUAAGUGAUUAUUACUUAUGAAAUCAAGAAAAUGAGAUAUAUGUGCAUACUUGUAGAAAUGUUUAUGUAUUUGUUUUAAGAUAAGAAAAUGAUUUUAUAGAUCGAUGCGAAAUCAAUAAUGAAUUACAAUUGCUAUCAAUGAGCUAAUGUCUUUGUGGAUAUAAUUCAAUAAGAGGACGUUAUCCUAAACUAUGCAUCGGUAGAAAUUUUCGGGGACGAAAAUUUCUUAAGUGGGGAAGAGUUGUGACACCCCUAAAGUGACCCUAGUCGGAAAGUGGUUUUGGGACCACUAAACCGAGUCAUAAAGAUAAUUAACCGUCAUAGUUGAUGCUCAUUAUAUGUACAUAUGCAUGUGUGAAAAUUUCAUGUUUGAAUUUUGUUAAUAGUAAGUGAAUUUUAUCAAAUAAGACUUAUGUGAGAAAAUUUUGAACUGUGAUAGGUCAAAGCAUAAAGAUCUAUUAGUGCAUGAAAUAAAAAGGGGGGACUUGCAUGUCAAUUUCCCCCCUAAUUAGUAGUGGUCGGCCAUGACAAGUAUGGUAGACCAAGUGUGAUGGGCAAGAACAUGUCAUAAACAUGUUAAGUUAGUGUUUCAUGGGAAGUAUGAUAAAAUAAGGAGCAUGGGAUAUAAAAUAUAUGCCUUUUAUAUUAAUAAAUUAAAUGUUAAAUGAAUAAAUAAUAUGAAAUAUGAACUUAUAUUAAAAGAAAUGGGUGAUAAAAACAAAGUUGGUUCAUCUUUUUCUUCCUCCAUUGCCGUACCUAAAGAAAGAAAAGAAGAAAUUGAAGUUAAGGCAUUUGGUCACCUUUAAGUGGAUUAAGGUAUGUUAAUGCUCUAUCAUUGAAAAUCUUUGUAUAUUUGGAGUGGCCAUCAAGUAUAGAAGCUAGCUCAUGGCAAAUGUUUUUGUAAAGUUAUGAAGAUGACAUUCGGUCAUGGAUGUUUGUAUUUCUUUGAUGUCGUUUUUGAUGCUUUAGGGUAUUGAGGGUUGAUUAUAGAUGAGUUGAGCUUGGUAAAAUUAAAUGUUUGUGGCUAAAUUGCUUAAUGACAAUCGGCUAUGUUGAAAUGCUAAAUUAGUGCUAAAUUGUAAGUAUUUAAAUGAGUGUUAGCCGAAAUUGAGCCUAUGAUAUUAAUUAGAAUUUGUGAAAUUUAUGCAUUUUGUGGUCCAAGUGUGAUAAGAACCAUACGGUUAUGGCAUGUAAGCAUGAAGAUUUGUGGAUGAUUUAGAAUUGGCCUAAGUGUUUUAGUCAUUAAUAUAUAUGUAUAUUGCCGAAUGUAUGCUUAAGGAAUUGGUUAAGUACAUUGUUGUUAAAUGCUUGUUGUUUUUGUAUAAUUGUUGCCUAGCUACUAAAUGAACUUAGGGUAUUAUGGAUAAGUUUAAGAGUGGCAUAAUUGAAAUGAAGUUUGCUUGGGCCAAAUGUGAACCUAAGUUUUGAAUUACAAUUGAUGCUUGUUAGUUAGUUGAUGAUGUCCUUUGAUAGCCCUUUUGAUAUUCGGCCAUUGUUAAGGAAUUUUGAAUUGGUUAUAAAUUUCUAUAUUUUAAUUAGCAAAUUGAAUUAUUGAAGGUUGAGCUAAUUAUAUAUGUAUACGUUUUAUAUGUACAUUAAUUUCUUAGUCUAUGUUAUUCGGCUAUAAUCGUCAUGGUAGAAUUUUUUUAAUUUGUAAAUUUGUUAAUCAUUAGCUCAAGAGCAUCAAGGACAAAAGUCGGAAAAAGGGACGACAAAACUAAGCGAAUAGCCGUAGAAUUAUAGUCGUCGACAACUUUUAAGGUAAGUUUCUAGCAUAUAAGUUUAGUUAUAAUGAAGAAUGAUAUGGAAAACGGCAUAUAUGAUAUUAUGUUUUAAAUAUGUGAAUGAGAACUUUACAGAGUAAAUUGUAUAAAUCUGCAAGGGACAGCAGCAGUAGCGUUUUGGAAAAAUUACCAUAAAUUGUGGGAGUUGAGUUAAAGGCUGAAUAAAAUAUGUAAUUAAAGCUUAAUGAGUCUAGUUUCUUAUAAAAGAAACCGUGUAAGCAAAGGAAUUUCCGAUAAUGAGAUAUUUAAAGUUGUGUGAGACGGUGUCAGAAUGACUCCGAAAUCCCCUGUUCUGUAUUUAUAAAAUCAUUAUAAAUUCUACAAAAAUGGUUAUAAGAUAAAAUUUAUAUGCUUAGACUCCUUAAUGAGUCUAGUUUCAAAUGAAAUCAAAUACAACAUAUUUUGAAUUCUGUAAAAUGAGAAAUUUGAUUCGUAGUGAAGAGUGGUCAGAUUAGUCAAACAGUGAAACAGGGGAAAUUUUAAGAAAAAUAUGAUAUUGAUUGGCCAGACCUAAAAUUCUGGAAAUUUUAUGGAUGGAAGAUAUACGAGUCUAUAUUCAGGAAAAAUUAACGGAAAGUGAUUUGGAGUUUUGUAGCACUAGUUAUAAAUGAUUUAGUGACUAUUGCUCAGGAAAAACAGCUUGUGCCGAAUUUGAGAUUAUGUUGUGAACCUUGAUAAACUUGUUUUAGUUGCUCAUAAGCUAUUGAUUAAACCCAUACUUGAAUUCUAAAUCGUGAUAUUGUAAGUUUAUGAGUAUUCAAAUAUGAAAUGAUAGUAUGGCGUAAUGGCCGAUGUGAUGAAUGUGAAAGUGUAUAUAUAUGUGAUAAGGCCUAAUGGCCGAUGUGAUGAAUGUGAAAGUGUAUAUAUAUGUGAUAAGGCCUAAUGGCCGAUGUGAUGAAUGUGAAAGUGUAUAUAUGUGAUAAGGCCUAAUGGCCGAUGUGAUGAAUGUGAAAGUGUAUAUAUGUGACAGGGCCGAGUGGCCAACGUGAUGGAUGUGAAAGUGUAUAAAUGUGAUAAGUCCCGAAGGGCAUUUGUGUCAGUACUAUAUCCGGGUUAAAACCCCGCAGGCUUUAUGCGAGAAUAUUAUCACUGAUUAAUGUCUGUAAGCUUCGUGCUCGUACUAUAUCCGAGCUCUAAAGACCCGAUGACUACGUGUGGGGAUUUUGUCCGAGUAAGACUUCGUAAUAAGAAUUGCUUAUAAAUAUAUUCAAUGCGAAAGGUUAAAUAGGUAUGUACUCCAAGUUUAUAUGUGAGCUUGAUUUGCACUAAAUCAAAUGGUAGUUAUGUGAUGUAUACGAGAGCAAUCUAUGAGACUAUUCCUAUGAUUAUGUGACAUCGGAUCAGUGUGAGAGGUUAUGUGAAAUCAUACGAUAUAUCUAUGUCACAUGAGCUCACUUUUAUGUGAAAGUUUAUCUGCCUAUUGUAUAUGAUGAGAUGUGCAUAUUCGGUAAAGGGAUGGUAUGCCCGAAGGAAGAGUGAAAUAAAAAUACGAACAACUAUGUUAUAAUUUGAUUGUUAUCUGUUCACACUGCUUAAAACUUACUAAGCAUUGUAAUGCUCACUCCGUUUACUCUGUUUCCUCUGUUUUAUAGAUCUCAUUGCGAAGCUACAGGCUCGGGGAUCGUCAGCAACUAGUCACACUAUCACUAUCCACUGUUUGGUACUGCUAUGUUUUGGAUUAUCUUAUGGCAUGUAUAAAAUAGACUAGUGGCGGAAGAAUAUUUUGGUUAAUGUAUAUAAGCCAUGCGAAAAUGGCAUCUUUUGAAUGUUUACUUAGAGAAGUUUAAAUUUUAUCCCUGGCCGUGCUUAGUACUUAUCUAAAUGAAUGACCUUUAUUUCAAGAAAAAGUUCAAAAUUUUACGGUUCUGACAUGAGUUACAAGCCCGGUAAUGCCCCUUACCUAUUCCGGCGACGGUCACGGGAUAGGGGUGUUACAUUUUAUUGGUAUCAGAGCUACGGUUUAGUCGAUUCUAGGACUGACGUAGCACGCGUGAGUCUAUUUAUACAUGCCAUAAAGUGAUAAAAUGAUAGUGUGAUGAUUUUUGGCUAUUAAAAUGUGUUUGCUGUAUUGCAAUGAAUCUUGAUCCCGAUCGAGCUGUAGCAAGCUUCUGACUAUGAGAAUUUGCGAUAUAAGUUCACUUAGAUGUGCCUAAAUUAUUAAGUUGAUCAGGUACGUAUCAUGCACUCGUAUUUGAAUUUCGAUUUGGAUUGAAUUAUAAGGGUAUAAGUGAUGCAAUUUUGAAAUAGUGUUAUGACUAUAAAUGUGAUUUUUGUAUGUGGCUAUGGAACUGGAAGUUGAAUGGUCGAUAAGCAUGUUGUGUUUGUAUUCAAGUAAUGUAAAUGAUAUACUAAUGUGUAUUGCUAUAUGUGUAUAUGUACAUGAGAAUUGAGAGUGAAAUGUCCGGGCUAAAUCUCGAAGAGCAUUCGUGCUAGUGAUGUAUCCGGACUAAGUUCCGAAGAGCAUUCAUGCUAGUGAUGUAUCCGGGCUAAGUCCCGAAGAGCAUUCGUGCUAGUGAUGUAUCCGGACUAAGUUCCGAAGAGCAUUCGUGCUAGUGAUGUAUCCGGGCUAAGUUCCGAAGAGCAUUCAUGCUAGUGAUGUAUCCGGGCUAAGUCCCGAAGAGCAUUCAUGCUAGUGAUGUAUCCGGGCUAAGUCCCGAAGAGCAUUCGUGCUAAUGAUGUAUCCGGGCUAAGUCUCGAAGAGCAUUCGUGCUAGUGAUGUAUUCGGACUAAGUUCCGAAGAGCAUUCAUGCUAGUGAUAUAUCCGUGCUAAACCCCGAAGAGCAUUUGUGCUGGUGUUAUAUCCGGGCUAGGUCCCGAAGAGCAAUCAUGCUGGUGACGUGUAUUCGGGCCUUCGUGCCUAGUAGGCUUCGUGCCGGUAGUUUGAGCAAAGUUUAAGUGUUCAUUACUAUACGAAUUCAAAUUUAAAUGAGAUGAUAUGUUUAAAAGUGUACAUACAUGAUGUUUAUAGACUUGGUUAAGUCAUUUCAAUGUGUAAUAACGAAUGAAUAAGAGCACUAUGUGUGUGAAUGAUUAGAGGCACUGUGUGUGUGCGAAUUCCUUUAACCGAGCACUAUGAGUGCGAGAUCGGUCAGUGGGCACUAAGUGUGUGAAGUGGAAUUCAUGUAAGACCUCGUCUGGGACGAAGGCAUUGAUUUGAGAUAGUGUGUAAGACCAUGUCUGGGACAUGGCAUCGGCUCGAUAUGUGAGAAUAUGUAAGACCAUAUCUAGGAUAUGGCAUUGUAAGAGCUAUAUGUGCUCAAUGAGUAUCCGUAAUGAUUUCGAAUGAUUCAACAGGUAUAUUUAAGAUGAUAAAUUAAGUAAGAUCAGAAUAAGUGAUACAGGUAUAUACGGAAGGUAUGAGAAAAUUAGAUGAAAGUAAAAAGAUGGUGGAUAUGUUGUUAAGAAAUGAAUUCAUGUUAUAAAUGUGUUACGAAUUUAGUCUAUGGAAUGCUUGGUAUAUGAAUUCAUAUGUGCUAUUGCUAAAUGACCCCUAUUUUUUUUUUGUUAAUCAUAUUCAAGAAAUUAUUUCGAUUAAGUUCGACAUUUGAAAGUCUGUAAGAAUUUGUGAUGAAUGCUGAUAAUUUUGGAUAUAUGGGUUAUGUGCUAAAAUAAAUCCCAUGCCGGUAUACAAUAUGAGGCUUGAUGCCAAAUCGAUUGUAUACGGGUAUCGUUAACGGUGAUUGAAUGUGCUAAAUGAACUCAAUGUUCAGGUAUGUGGAAGUUGAUUUUCUGUUGGAAAUAGGUUAAGUUGAAUAGUGAGAUAUGAUGGAGUGAUAAAGGAUAUUUAUUGGGAUGUUUGAGUAUAUGUGUACUUUCGGUCAGGUUACAGCUUAUACAUGAAUGAAAAUGUGGGUUACAAAUAUGUGGGUUGAUGAUGUGAAUUAUACAUAUUAAUAUGUGCUUAAUAUGUGUUUGAAAUGCAUUUGUGAAUUAAAUUAAGUGAUUAUUACUUAUGAAAUCAAGAAAAUGAGAUAUAUGUGCAUACUUGUAGAAAUGUUUAUGUAUUUGUUUUAAGAUAAGAAAAUGAUUUUAUAGAUCGAUGCGAAAUCAAUAAUGAAUUACAAUUGCUAUCAAUGAGCUAAUGUCUUUGUGGAUAUAAUUCAAUAAGAGGACGUUAUCCUAAACUAUGCAUCGGGACCACUAAACCGAGUCAUAAAGAUAAUUAACCGUCAUAGUUGAUGCUCAUUAUAUGUACAUAUGCAUGUGUGAAAAUUUCAUGUUUGAAUUUUGUUAAUAGUAAGUGAAUUUUAUCAAAUAAGACUUAUGUGAGAAAAUUUUGAACUGUGAUAGGUCAAAGCAUAAAGAUCUAUUAGUGCAUGAAAUAAAAAGGGGGGACUUGCAUGUCAAUUUCCCCCCUAAUUAGUAGUGGUCGGCCAUGACAAGUAUGGUAGACCAAGUGUGAUGGGCAAGAACAUGUCAUAAACAUGUUAAGUUAGUGUUUCAUGGGAAGUAUGAUAAAAUAAGGAGCAUGGGAUACAAAAUAUAUGCCUUUUAUAUUAAUAAAUUAAAUGUUAAAUGAAUAAAUAAUAUGAAAUAUGAACUUAUAUUAAAAGAAAUGGGUGAUAAAAACAAAGUUGGUUCAUCUUUUUCUUCCUCCAUUGCCGUACCUAAAGAAAGAAAAGAAGAAAUUGAAGUUAAGGCAUUUGGUCACCUUUAAGUGGAUUAAGGUAUGUUAAUGCUCUAUCAUUGAAAAUCUUUGUAUAUUUGGAGUGGCCAUCAAGUAUAGAAGCUAGCUCAUGGCAAAUGUUUUUGUAAAGUUAUGAAGAUGACAUUCGGUCAUGGAUGUUUGUAUUUCUUUGAUGUCGUUUUUGAUGCUUUAGGGUAUUGAGGGUUGAUUAUAGAUGAGUUGAGCUUGGUAAAAUUAAAUGUUUGUGGCUAAAUUGCUUAAUGACAAUCGGCUAUGUUGAAAUGCUAAAUUAGUGCUAAAUUGUAAGUAUUUAAAUGAGUGUUAGCCGAAAUUGAGCCUAUGAUAUUAAUUAGAAUUUGUGAAAUUUAUGCAUUUUGUGGUCCAAGUGUGAUAAGAACCAUACGGUUAUGGCAUGUAAGCAUGAAGAUUUGUGGAUGAUUUAGAAUUGGCCUAAGUGUUGUAGUCAUUAAUAUAUAUGUAUAUUGCCGAAUGUAUGCUUAAGGAAUUGGUUAAGUACAUUGUUGUUAAAUGCUUGUUGUUUUUGUAUAAUUGUUGCCUAGCUACUAAAUGAACUUAGGGUAUUAUGGAUAAGUUUAAGAGUGGCAUAAUUGAAAUGAAGUUUGCUUGGGCCAAAUGUGAACCUAAGUUUUGAAUUACAAUUGAUGCUUGUUAGUUAGUUGAUGAUGUCCUUUGAUAGCCCUUUUGAUAUUCGGCCAUUGUUAAGGAAUUUUGAAUUGGUUAUAAAUUUCUAUGUUUUAAUUAGCAAAUUGAAUUAUUGAAGGUUGAGCUAAUUAUAUAUGUAUACGUUUUAUAUGUACAUUAAUUUCUUAGUCUAUGUUAUUCGGCUAUAAUCGUCAUGGUAGAAUUUUUUUAAUUUGUAAAUUUGUUAAUCAUUAGCUCAAGAGCAUCAAGGACAAAAGUCGGAAAAAGGGACGACAAAACUAAGCGAAUAGCCGUAGAAUUAUAGUCGUCGACAACUUUUAAGGUAAGUUUCUAGCAUAUAAGUUUAGUUAUAAUGAAGAAUGAUAUGGAAAACGGCAUAUAUGAUAUUAUGUUUUAAAUAUGUGAAUGAGAACUUUACAGAGUAAAUUGUAUAAAUCUGCAAGGGACAGCAGCAGUAGCGUUUUGGAAAAAUUACCAUAAAUUGUGGGAGUUGAGUUAAAGGCUGAAUAAAAUAUGUAAUUAAAGCUUAAUGAGUCUAGUUUCUUAUAAAAGAAACCGUGUAAGCAAAGGAAUUUCCGAUAAUGAGAUAUUUAAAGUUGUGUGAGACGGUGUCAGAAUGACUCUGAAAUCCCCUGUUCUGUUUUUAGAAAAUCAUUAUAAAUUGUACAAAAAUUUUUAUAAGAUAAAAUUUAUAUUCUUAGACUCCUUAAUGAGUCUAGUUUCAAAUGAAAUCAAAUACAACAUAUUUUGAAUUCUGUAAAAUGAGAAAUUUGAUUCGUAGUGAAGAGUGGUCAGAUUAGUCAAACAGUGAAAUAGGGGAAACUUUAAGAAAAAUCUGGUACUGAUUGGCCAAACCUAAAAUUCUGUAAAUUUUAUGGAUGGAAGAUAUACGAGUCUAUAUUCAGGAAAAAUUAACGGAAAGUGAUUUGGAGUUUUGUAGCACUAGUUAUAAAUGAUUUAGUGACUAUUGCUCAGGAAAAACAGCUUGUGCCGAAUUUGAGAUUAUGUUGUGAACCUUGAUAAACUUGUUUUAGUUGCUCAUAAGCUAUUGACUAAACCCAUACUUGAAUUCUAAAUCGUGAUAUUGUAAGUUUAUGAGUAUUCGAAUAUGAAAUGAUAGUAUGGCGUAAUGGCCGAUGUGAUGAAUGUGAAAGUGUAUAUAUAUGUGAUAAGGCCUAAUAGCCGAUGUGAUGAAUGUGAAAGUGUAUAUAUAUAUGUGAUAAGGCCUAAUGGCUGAUGUGAUGAAUGUGAAAGUGUAUAUAUAUGUGAUAAGGCCUAAUGGCCGAUGUGAUGAAUGUGAAAGUGUAUAUAUAUGUGAUAAGGCCUAAUGGCCGAUGUGAUGGAUGUGAAAGUGUAUAUAUGUGAUAAGGCCUAAUGGCCGAUGUGAUGAAUGUGAAAGUGUAUAUAUAUGUGAUAAGGCCUAAUGGCCGAUGUGAUGAAUGUGAAAGUGUAUAUAUAUGUGAUAAGGCCUAAUGGCCGAUGUGAUGAAUGUGAAAGUGUAUAUAUGUGAUAAGGCCUAAUGGCCGAUGUGAUGAAUGUGAAAGUGUAUAUAUAUGUGAUAAGGCCUAAUGGCCGAUGUGAUGAAUGUGAAAGUGUAUAUAUGUGAUAAGGCCUAAUGGCCGAUGUGAUGAAUGUGAAAGUGUAUAUAUAUGUGAUAAGGCCUAAUGGCCGAUGUGAUGAAUGUGAAAGUGUAUAUAUGUGAUAAGGCCUAAUGGCCGAUGUGAUGAAUGUGAAAGUGUAUAUAUGUGACAGGGCCGAGUGGCCAACGUGAUGGAUGUGAAAGUGUAUAAAUGUGAUAAGUCCUGAAGGGCAUUUGUGUCAGUACUAUAUCCGGGUUAAAACCCCGCAGGGUUUAUGCGAGAAUAUUAUCACUGAUUAAUGUCGGUAAGCUUCAUGCUCGUACUAUAUCCGAGCUCUAAAGACCCGAUGACUACGUGUGGGGAUUUUAUCCGGGUAAGACUUCGUAAUAAGAAUUGCUUAUAAAUAUAUUCAAUGCGAAAGGUUAAACAGGUAUGUACUCCAAGUUUAUAUGUGAGCUUGAUUUGCACUAAAUCAUAAGGUA
rnacentral:lncRNA from 1 species